AACAAGAGCAGUAGCAGACUACAAGGAAAUGUCUUCUGAAAUAGGUCAACAGGGAAGUCAGACACCUCCAAUAAAGCAACCUGGAUGGCUCUUCCUUUAUCUCUUGGGAGCAUGCUUGUCACCCAGGGGCUAAUCUCAAAAGGCAUUUUCUCAGCAAGCCCAAGAUUUGGUCCAUACCCCAAGAUGGCAAGUGAGUUGUACCCAAUUCGAAAAGAAAACGUUCAAAAAUCUUUUUUUUUUUGCAAUUUAUAUGUUACCCCAGCAGAUUAGGAAAUCAGAUUUCUUAUGUGUUUAAAAAUAAAUGUAUGAAACUAGAUUCUUCUAAUGUAAAUAUUUUUAGUAGCAGCUUAUAUUUAUGUAAUGCAGUCUCAUAUUGGUAUAAACUCUAGUCUCUCUAAACUCUAUAAAACUUCGUUUUAUAAAUUAUGUCAGCUCAUUGAUCAGCUGUGUUUGGCAGAUUGCACAACUUAUGGUAUCAAGAAGUCACAAUACUAUAAUAUAUAAAAUAGUAUGGUCCUUUUCAUGUGUUUGCUUGAUUGAUCUCAACUGUCUAAUUCAGAACCACGGAUUGAUAAAGAAAACAAAUAGAAGCACAGAAACUGUACUGUACAGUGAGGUGGCUCAUAAAUGACAAGAAUUUAAAUAGAUUCCCUCUCCAGCAGAAAUUCACCAGAAAAUCAAGGACAUUGAAGUAGUCUUUUAUUCUGACUCUAGUGAGUGAAAGCUAUAGUGCAACAGUAUGGCAGGCUGAUGUUCUAGCUUCUUAGAAGGCCAGAGAAGUUGGUGUUAAAAGUGUGAUCAUUAGAAGUAAACCAUGGUGUGCAAUCAAAGGCAAGAACUAUUAGUGGUCACAUUGUGAAUUAAUUUUAUUUUCUAUGAUCUGUUCCUUUAAAUAUUAUCUCUUUUUUCUGUAUCAAUUAUUCUGGACCAGUUGUUCUCUCUCAUGAUAGAUAGAUAAUCAGUUUUCAGUAGUUAAUGAAUUCACCCUUGUAAACCCUGUGUAACCUCACAUGUGUUUGUAACAUAUUCUGAGAAGAUGUGGUACAGAAUUUGUUAUAUGAUUAAAGUGGAGCUUACAGCACA